GUUUGGUGUCAGUGUUGGGCAAUGCUCUCUGUGUGCAUCCCCACACACACAGCCUCGCUCUCUCCCCCACCACUGCCAGAGUUUGAUGAGCAGCCUCAGGACGUGAUGGUCAUGGAGGGGGAGCACACUGGGUUCCCGUGUGCCCUGGACACAAUGCCGGCGCCCUCCAUCAAGGGGUUCAGGAACAGUCACCCGCUGGAGCCAGACUCACGAAUAACACGCCUUCCAUCUGGUGGGUGUCUUCAGGGAGAGGGAAGGGCUGAGAGGAAAGGUUCAGGCAGACUGUUCUGCCCUGACCCAUGGAAAAUAGCUUUAAGGAAGAAAUUGACGAUUAACUUAGGGCAUUUUCAAUCAUUCAUUAGUGUUCAUCAUAGUGUGAGUCAUGCUGUGUGACCUGAGCUUAAAUCACAUACUUAAGAUACUUGUAGCUCCAGCAUUGAAGUUGCUUGCCUCUCCAGGUGCCUUAGAAAUAGAGAACGUAGCCAUGCCGGGGAGUACUGCUGCCAAGCCAACAAGAGCAAGGUGUCCCAGCAAGCCACACUCACAGUCAAGGAAGCCUACGUGCUCACUGCUCAGCCAAAGUCCACGAUAGGCAAGGUGGGGGACAAGAUCACCCUGGACUGUGCGGCCAACGGCUACCCGAGGCCAGCCAUGGUGUGGUUCAAGGACGGUGCCACCAUCCACAUGGCGUAAGGACCUGCAAAGCGUUCUGUUGAUGAUGAAAGGGAAUUUGGGAGAUGACUGAGAGGGCCAUUUUGAUGUGUCUUGAGAGCUUGGAUAACAGUGACUGAGGGAGAGGUUUCAGAAUCAAAUAAAUAUAUACCCAUUCCUUUUAUUUUUAGUUUGUGUGUGUGUGUUGCAGUUAUUGCUGUAUAUAAGGGACCUGGACACACUGUUCUGCGGCACCACCAGCAGCAGCCUGCACAUCCAUGGCCUGCAGGAGGAGGACGAGGGGACGUACAGGUGCCGGGCGGAGAACAGGGACCUGGACACACUGUUCUGCGGCACCACCACCAGCAGCCUGCACAUCCAUGGCCUGCAGGAGGAGGACGAGGGGACGUACAGGUGCCGGGCGGAGAACAGGGAGGAUUCGCUCAACGCCGUGGCCCACAUACAGGUCCAAGUUGCUCCGAGGUUUCUGAGGCAGCCGGCCAACGCUCUCGCCUAUGAGAAGGAGAACGUGGAGCUGGAGUGCAGCGUGUACGGCCAGCCAGAGCCCUCGCUCCACUGGCUCAAGAACGGCGAGCUGCUGGUGGAGACGGAAUAC